rnacentral:rRNA from 1 species
UACGUAGGGUGCGAGCGUUGUCCGGAAUUACUGGGCGUAAAGAGCUCGUAGGUGGUUUGUCGCGUUGUUCGUGAAAACUCACAGCUCAACUGUGAGCGUGCGGGCGAUACGGGCAGACUGGAGUACUGCAGGGGAGACUGGAAUUCCUGGUGUAGCGGUGGAAUGCGCAGAUAUCAGGAGGAACACCGGUGGCGAAGGCGGUGGUCUGGGCCGGCACUGACGCUGAGGAGCGAAAGCGUGGGGAGCGAACAGG